AACGAACGCUGGCGGCAUGCCUAACACAUGCAAGUCGAACGAGACCUUCGGGUCUAGUGGCGCACGGGUGCGUAACGCGUGGGAACCUGCCCUUAGGUUCGGAAUAACUCCCCGAAAGGGGUGCUAAUACCGGAUAAUGUCUUCGGACCAAAGAUUUAUCGCCUUUGGAUGGGCCCGCGUUGGAUUAGCUAGUUGGUAGGGUAAAAGCCUACCAAGGGGACGAUCCAUAGCUGGUCUGAGAGGAUGAUCAGCCACACUGGGACUGAGACACGGCCCAGACUCCUACGGGAAGCAGCAGUGGGGAAUAUUGGACAAUGGGCGAAAGCCUGAUCCAGCAAUGCCGCGUGAGUGAUGAAGGCCUUAGGGUUGUAAAGCUCUUUUACACGGGAUGAUAAUGACAGUACCGGGAGAAUAAGCUCCGGCUAACUCCGUG
rnacentral:rRNA from 1 species